UACGGGGGGGGCAAGCGUUGUUCGGAAUUACUGGGCGUAAAGGGCUCGUAGGCGGCCAACUAAGUCAGACGUGAAAUCCCCAGGCUCAACCUGGGAACUGCGUCUGAUACUGGAUGGCUUGAAUCCGGGAGAGGGAUGCAGAAUUCCAGGUGUAGCGGUGAAAUGCGUAGAUAUCUGGAGGAACACCGAUGGCGAAGGCAGCCUUCUGGGCCAACACUGACGCUCAUGCACGAAAGCGUGGGGAGCAAACAGG
rnacentral:rRNA from 1 species